rnacentral:misc_RNA from 1 species
UGGCCCUGUCAAAUUCUUUGCCCAUCUCAGGGAGGACGAGUUUGAUUGCCUUGAAUAGCAUUUUUCAUUUGCUGGUGCUUCCCCACCAGGCCAGGCAAAUACUUUGUCUCCUCUCUUUCUAUUAAUUUAUAUAAUCUCUUCCAUUAAUCAUAUCCCAGAAUAGUGCAGUGUUGUAUGUAGUUUAAACUUGCUUAAUUACUGUCCUUAUUUUCCCGCCG